rnacentral:rRNA from 1 species
AUUGAACGCUGGCGGCAGGCUUAACACAUGCAAGUCGAGCGGGGUGAUGGUGCUUGCACUAUCACUUAGCGGCGGACGGGCGAGUAAUGCUUAGGAAUCUGCCUAUUAGUGGGGGACAACAUCUCGAAAGGGAUGCUAAUACCGCAUACGUCCUACGGGAGAAAGCAGGGGAUCACUUGUGACCUUGCGCUAAUAGAUGAGCCUAAGUCGGAUUAGCUAGUUGGUGGGGUAAAGGCCUACCAAGGCGACGAUCUGUAGCGGGUCUGAGAGGAUGAUCCGCCACACGGGGACUGAGACACGGCCCAGACUCCUACGGGAGGCAGCAGUGGGGAAUAUUGGACAAUGGGGGGAACCCUGAUCCAGCCAUGCCGCGUGUGUGAAGAAGGCCUUAUGGUUGUAAAGCACUUUAAGCGAGGAGGAGGCUCUUUUGGUUAAUACCCAAGAUGAGUGGACGUUACUCGCAGAAUAAGCACCGGCUAACUCUGUGCCAGCCGCCGCGGUAAUAC